rnacentral:rRNA from 1 species
AUACGGAGGAUGCGAGCGUUAUCCGGAUUUAUUGGGUUUAAAGGGAGCGUAGGCGGGAGCUUAAGUCAGCGGUUAAAUGGUGCGGCUCAACCGUGCCCUGCCGUUGAAACUGGGGUUCUUGAGAGUGCAAGAGGCGGAUGGGAUUCAUGGUGUUGCGGUGGAAUGCUUAGAUAUCAUGAAGAACUCCGAUUGCGAAGGCAGUCCGCUGGGGCACGUCUGACGCUGAUACUCGAAGGUGCGGGAAUCAAACAGGAUUAGAUACCCUGGUAGUCCGCACGGUAAACGAUGAUUACCCGCUGUCGGCGGUAGACAGUCGGCGGCCAAGCGAAAGCGAUAAGUAAUCCACCUGGGGAGUACGCCGGCAACGGUGAAACUCAAAGGAAUUGACGGGG